rnacentral:rRNA from 1 species
UGGGGAAUAUUGCACAAUGGGCGCAAGCCUGAUGCAGCCAUGCCGCGUGUGUGAAGAAGGCCUUCGGGUUGUAAAGCACUUUCAGUCAGGAGGAAAGGUUAGUAGUUAAUACCUGCUAGCUGUGACGUUACUGACAGAAGAAGCACCGGCUAACUCCGUGCCAGCAGCCGCGGUAAUACGGAGGGUGCGAGCGUUAAUCGGAAUUACUGGGCGUAAAGCGUACGCAGGCGGUUUGUUAAGCGAGAUGUGAAAGCCCCGGGCUCAACCUGGGAACUGCAUUUCGAACUGGCAAACUAGAGUGUGAUAGAGGGUGGUAGAAUUUCAGGUGUAGCGGUGAAAUGCGUAGAGAUCUGAAGGAAUACCGAUGGCGAAGGCAGCCACCUGGGUCAACACUGACGCUCAUGUACGAAAGCGUGGGGAGCAAACG